UAGCACAUGUUAUUGAUUAAUAGACUGAUAAGAGUAAAGGAGGAGGUUGAUGGUAAGAUGGAGCACAUUAAUGUUUAAUGAUUAUUAAGGCAGUGGACGAGAGGAUAAAAUAGUUUCUUAACCCUAAUUCUCAGCUUAAGCAUUUGUAUCGGUGUAAGAUUUAUAGUUUUCUUCAAACGACUUACAUGUAUUUCUUUGUAAAAUAGUAUCUAAGUAUUUGGGAGUUUUGUGUAGCGAUCCGGAAUUGUUAGCUUCUAGUUUCCCAUUGUGCCUCAGCGGGUUAAGGACCUGCCAUUGUCUCCCUGAGGUUGCAGGUUCACUCUCCGGCCUUGCUCAGUGGGUUAAGGAUCUGGAGUUGCCACAAGCUGCAGCAUAGGUUGCAGAUGCAGCUCGGAUCUGGUGUUGCUGUGGGUGUGGUCUAGGCCUCAGCUGCAGCUCUGAUUUCACCCUUAGCCUGGGAACUUCCAUAUGCCAUGGGUGCGGUCCUAAAAAGAAAAAAAAAAUUGUUAGCCUCUAACUAGUAAUUCAUAUUACAAACACUAUAAUUUAUGUAUAUAUAUAUAUAUAUUUUUUUUUUUUUUUGUCCAUUUUGGUCGCCCUGUGGAACAUGGAGCUCCCGGGCCAGGGAGCAGAGCCAGUCACGACCUAAGCCGAAGCUGUGGCAAGGCAGGCUCCCUAACCCACUAUGCUGGGCCAGAGAUAGAACCCGCCUCCCAGCAGCUCCCAAGAUGCUGCCAAUCCUAUGCGCCACAGUGGAAGCUCCUAUCAUUUUUAUCUUGGUUUUAGUUACAUUACUAAUUAAUUCUGUUCAUUUUCCAACUGAUACUCUUGCCUUUUUAAAACAAGCAAUAUAAGAUCGUAAUUAGCAAUAUUAGCAUUUAACACUGUACUUUUAUUAAGAAUCAUUUAUGUUUAAAAUGUCUUUUUGCGAAUGACCUAUUCAUAUCAGGAUCCAAACAAAAUCCACACAUUGCCUUUGGCAGACAUGUCCUUGAGUCUGUAACAGCUCCUUUUCUUUUACUUUUUCAUUUAUUUAUGGAACAUUUACAUUUAUUUAUGGGCUACGUUGGAUCAUUUGCCCUAGAGAAUUUCUUACCGUCUGUACUUGGCCGAUUAUAUUCUUGUGGCAUUAUUUAAUGUUUCUCCAUCCCCUGUCUUUCCUGUAAACCAGUAGUUAGGUCCAAAAUCUUGAUUGAAUUUGGUUUUAAAUGUGUUUGGCGAGAAUCUUGGUGGUGGUGCCGUCUGCUCUCAGUUGCGUCACGUUGGGAGCCACGUGAGUGUCUGGCUGCUGCACUGUUGUAACGUUAACGUGGAUCCGUGGAUUCGGGUGAUGUCAGGCUGAUUCGUCCGUUGAGAAGAAUGACAUCAACUUUUUACCAAAUGCUUUUAAGCAGCCAUGGAUGACCUUGGCCAAGUCCCUUAUUUCAUGAGGAAAGCAAAGUGGCGACUUUCUAAUUCGGUUAUUCUUCUGCAUUUACUCAUUCCUCCUUCCCUUUGGAAAAAACCUCACCUCCUCCCCUGUUUAAUUACCCUGACACAGAAAGCUGAACUGCUCGAUUCAAUUUUUAGAAAAAUGGUGAGUGCCGAGCAGCCUCCCAAAGUGGCAAAGAAGGUUUUGGGGGGGUUGGUAUAUUCUUCCAGAUGCAUAGGAAUGCACAUAUCUAUUUUGACCCAUUGCAGUAUUUAUUUUUAUUUUGUCUAAAUAAUGAAAGACUCUAAUGCUUUCAAUGUAUAUCUGGCCAAAUGCCAUAAUGGCAAGUGAGAGGUGUAAGUGGUAUGUCUGUGCCUGGUUUGCAUUUUUGGGGUUUGUUUGUAUUUUUCUGAUUUCGUACAUGUGUUUUUAAAAGAGAUGUUCUUGCUUUCCUAUUAUAGGAAAAAUCUGGUCUUUGUUAUUUCUGCUGCUGGAAAUUUAUUAAGAAUUUUUUUACUCUAUGAUUGAUUUUCUAAAUUUUCCUUAUUUUGUCUGUUUAGUCUGCUACAGAGUAAUGCUGAGGUGUGGUAAAGUCUCCCACUGCCUGUGUAGGUCUGUUCAUUUUUCCUUCUAUAUGCAGUGUUUUUAUUCUACAUAAUUUACUGCUAUUAUUUGGUUAAUGUCCAUUCCUAGUAAAAGAUGUCUGAGGUCAUUUGCUUUCUAAUCCUUUCUGACCCUUUCUGGUCGGCCGCGAGCUGAUGGCUUAUGUCUUUAUUGGAAAUUGCAUUAUUUAAAUAGGUUUCAUUGUCUUAUUUUAUGCUUUUUUGCCUUGAAUCAUAAUUGGCUGAUAUAAACAUUGCCAUCUCUGCAUACUUUUUUCUUUCUUUAUAUUUGCCUGAUAAAUUGUGCCUAUUUUAUUGACUUUCUUUAGUGACUUUUCAUGGAAACAAAGAAUUUGCUACUUUCCCACUCUCAGCCCUUGAUAUUUGCUCAUCAUUUACUUGUUUUAUAACAUAGUACAAAAUAGAAAAUUAAGAUAGAAUUAAUAUUGGAAAAUAAUCAUGCAUACAUAUACAUACAUACACACAUACAUGCAUGCAUGCAUAUAAAAUUUUUGUCUUUUGGCUGCACUCACAGCAUGCGGAAGUUCCCAGGCCAGGGACUGAGCCCGCACCACAGCAGUGACCCGAGCCUCUGCAGUGACCAUACCAGAUCCUUAACCUGCUAUGUCACAAAGGAACUCCUAAAUUUCCAUUUUUACAUUUAACUGAUUUCAGGGAGUUCCACACUGAGCCGGGAAACCCUGAGACUGUUAAUAAAAGCAUGUUAAUGAGAUUCAAAAUUACCAUGAAAAAGAUGAGGAAAGAAAUUCAUCUUUCCUUUUGUUAACAAGUCAACUGAAAUUUAAUAUGAAGGAAUUUGGGAUUUUGGUUUAAGCAAUAUAAUUUGUAAUGAAGACAAGUCAUCGGCUUUGAGCCCCCAGAAAGUGUCGGAAAGUGAGUGGCAUGAAGCAUAGAUUUUUCAAAACUAAACACAGAAUGACGUGUGCUGUUUCAGCUGCUCUGUUUGGUCUUAAGGUGACCGUCUCGGUUGGGUCUGUCAUUUUCUAGAUGGUAAUAGAUCCAGGUUGAUAAUCGAGGUAAUGACGACUGGGUUGGGUCUUAACUAUUUUGAAACUUGUUCUCAUCAUAUAUGAAGCUCCUUUUCAAGUUUCAGUCAAGGUAGUUCUUUUUCCUGACUUCUUUUUCAGUUUCUUCAGUGACUUCACACAGUUUAUGACUUCAUUUUGUCACUAGUAAUUUAAUUUUGAAGAGACUUAAGUGUUUCUGUAAAAACAACCUCGGAUGGUCCUGAAGAAUAUGAUGUGGAAAGCAUUGCUUCAGCUGCUUCUCGUCUGAGAUUCCGCUCCCCAAAGUAGGCACUGGUUUUAGUUGCCUAAUUAUGCUGUUUAAUCUUUAAAAGGAAGCCUAAUUCUUUAAGUACUCUAGUUCAAGAAAGAAAUAGUAUCUGAUUCUUCUGUAAAUAACAAGACAGUUUUCAAUGCUUUUAAAUUUAACAACUCACAAAGCUAGAGGUUACUGAAUUGUCCUGAAAUGUUAAUAUUGAAAUGAGUAAACAUUUUUCUGUAAUUUAUUUUCCAUUGUUUUGACUAAGAGCGUUAGCUACCCGUUUUAAAAAAAUGUCUUUCCGGGAGUUCCCGUCAUGGCGCAGUGGAAACGAAUCUGACUAGGAACCAUGAGGUUGUGGGUUCGAUCCCUGGCCCCGCUUUAGUGGGUUAAGGAUCCAGCAUUGCUGUGAGCUGUGGUGUAGGUGGCAGAUCCCGAGUUGCUGUGGCUGUGGUGUAGGCCAGCAGCUACAGUUCCAAUUAGACCCCUAGCCUGGGAACCUCCAUAUGCCAC
rnacentral:lncRNA from 1 species